UACGUAGGGACCGAGCGUUGUCCGGAAUCAUUGGGCGUAAAGAGCGUGUAGGCGGCCUUUUAAGUCCUGCGUGAAAUCCUGCGGCUCAACCGCAGACGGUCGUGGGAAACUGGAAGGCUAGAGUGCGGGAGAGGAGAGUGGAAUUCCCGGUGUAGCGGUGAAAUGCGUAGAUAUUGGGAGGAACACCAGUGGCGAAGGCGGCUCGCUGGACCGGUUCUGACGCUGAUGCGCGAAAGCGUGGGGAGCAAACGGG
rnacentral:rRNA from 1 species